GGAAUUCCAAGUGUAGCGGUGAAAUGCGUAGAGAUUUGGAGGAACACCAGUGGCGAAGGCGACUUUCUGGUCUGUAACUGACACUGAGGCGCGAAAGCGUGGGGAGCGAACAGGAUUAGAUACCCUGGUAGUCCACGCCGUAAACGAUGAGUGCUAAGUGUUAGAGGGUUUCCGCCCUUUAGUGCUGCAGCAAACGCAUUAAGCACUCCGCCUGGGGAGUACGACCGCAAGGUUGAAACUCAAAGGAAUUGACGGGGGCCCGCACAAGCGGUGGAGCAUGUGGUUUAAUUCGAAGCAACGCGAAGAACCUUACCAGGUCUUGACAUCCUCUGACAAUCCUAGAGAUAGGACGUUCCCCUUCGGGGGACAGAGUGACAGGUGGUGCAUGGUUGUCGUCAGCUCGUGUCGUGAGAUGUUGGGUUAAGUCCCGCAACGAGCGCAACCCUUGAUCUUAGUUGCCAGCAUUCAGUUGGGCACUCUAAGGUGACUGCCGGUGACAAACCGGAGGAAGGUGGGGAUGACGUCAAAUCAUCAUGCCCCUUAUGACCUGGGCUACACACGUGCUACAAUGGAUGGUACAAAGGGCUGCAAGACCGCGAGGUUUAGCCAAUCCCAUAAAACCAUUCUCAGUUCGGAUUGCAGGCUGCAACUCGCCUGCAUGAAGCCGGAAUCGCUAGUAAUCGCGGAUCAGCAUGCCGCGGUGAAUACG
rnacentral:rRNA from 2 species